UACGUAGGAGGCAAGCGUUAUCCGGAAUUACUGGGCGUAAAGGGCGUCUAGGUGGGACGUCAAGCGGGGUGUGAAAGCUCCUGGCUUAACUGGGAGAGUGCGCUCUGAACUGACGACCUAGAGGACAGGCGACGGCGGUGGAAUUCCCGGUGGAGUGGUGAAAUGCGUAGAGAUCGGGAGGAACACCAGUGGCGAAGGCGGCCGCCGAGCCUGCACCUGACACUGAAGCGCGAGAGCGUGGGGAGCAAACGGG
rnacentral:rRNA from 1 species